GACAUGAUUUGAUCACGUGAUCCAAUGUCAUGACCGAGUCCGAAAGGGCAGUUUCAGAAUUGUCGGUACUCGGUACUAUAAAUGAAAUUACAAGAGGCCCUUGUCUUUCAGCCUGUGUUUAAACGAUAGGGAUGCCGUCGAAUCACUGAACCUAUUUAUAAAUUCCCUAGGCAUUGGCUCUCUCAAGAGUAAUUGGAUUCACACGCGCAUGUAGUGUGAAGUAGAUUUCCUCGUGCAGUAGAUACAAAAUAGCAGAAUUGUUGCAGUGUUCCGAUCCCCAUUCGAACCACAACACGUUAGUUUGAAUACAUCAUAGUAUUUCAUUUGCCAGUCAUUAAAAGUAUACGUUUUUUAUGAGCGAAUGUGUGUUUUCUUUCUUUCCACAAAGUUCUUUCUUUGUUCCCCUGGCUAAAGUGUAAGUGGGUUGUUUCCAGUUUUCAAUCACAUGUGAACAAAAAUAUGCAUGGAUAAAUUAUGAAACCAGUCAAGUCUUGAUUAGUGUUUAUGAUAUUCAGCUCAACCGUUUUCCUGUAUCACAAGUUUUGAAUUGCACCAGUGUUCGUAUAGUUUGUUGUAGCUACAGCCUUAAAAAAAUUCACAUGGGUGAUAGUCAUGACUGGAGACCAUUUAUCUAUGGAGGUUUCUCAUCUUGUACAGCUGAAUUUGGUACAUUCCCAAUUGAUACUACCAAAACAAGGCUUCAGAUUCAAGGCCAGAAGUUGGAUGGAAGAUUUACAGUUGUUCGCUACAAUGGCAUGUUUCACGCAUUGUCAAGAAUCACCAGGGAAGAAGGUGUCAGGGCUUUGUAUUCAGGCAUUUGGCCAGCACUUUUAAGACAAUCCACAUAUGGAACUAUCAAGUUUGGGAUUUACUAUACCCUCAAAAAGUGGAUUGAUCAUCCUGAAGUUGAAGACAUGAUGACAAACAUAUUUUGUGGUGUUAUUGCUGGUGUGGUUUCAAGUGCCAUAGCCAAUCCAACGGAUGUAUUGAAAGUAAGGAUGCAAGCAUGCUCAACCUCCCUGCAGCAAAAGUCAAUGUUUGAGUGCUUUGGAGAUGUAUACAGACAAGAAGGAAUAUCUGGUUUGUGGCGGGGAGUUGGUCCAACCGCACAGAGAGCAGCCGUGAUAACGGCUGUGGAAUUGCCCAUUUACGAUAUCUGUAAGCAUCGGUUAAUACAGGGUAAUGUAAUGGGCGAUACAGUCUCAAAUCACUUUGUGUCAAGCUUUAUAUCAAGUUUGGGUGGUGCAGUCGCCUCAACUCCAAUUGACGUCGUUCGUGUUCGGCUGAUGAAUCAACGACGCCUUAAAUCUGGAGUACGAUUCGGGUUCGGCAUGAGCAGUGAUUUUUCUCUUCACAAAUCUCGACUCUAUCGUGGAACUUUAGAUUGUUUUGUACAGACCGUCCGACACGAAGGUAUCAUGGCUCUCUAUCGUGGUUUUAUUCCAACUUGGUUGCGUAUGGGCCCGUGGAACGUGAUUUUCUUUAUUACGUACGAACAGCUGAAAAAGUUGUACUAAUCGAAAGCUGAUCUGGUCGUCGAGUCAACAAGAACAAUUCUAAAUUGUUUCCCGAAUUUCCCUUCUGACUGACGCAUCCGUAUCAAUCAAAUGGCGAGUAUUAAGUCGACCUAGUGUCGCCUCAACGAGCUCAUAGAUCGUCGUCUGUCAGUAUCCGGGCACCGGGCUUUGGCAGAACUUUACUUGUAGUCUACUUCAGUUAAUAUCGAGAGGGAUUUCCACUUUAGUUUAAAAUAUUUUUGACAGUCAAUUAAAGUAGGCUACAUUUUUUUAAUGAGCGAAUGUGUCCUUUCUUUCUUCUUACCAAGUCCCUCUUUGUUCUCCGUGCUAAAAGCUUGAGUGGGUUGUUUUCUUUUAAAUUAUAUGAACAAAAAUAUGUACAGAUAAAUUAAGGAAGUGCUCAUUAGAUGUAUUUAUUAGAUAGUCAGCUCAACUGAUUUUCUGCCCCAUCUCUUUAGAUUUGUAAAUAUAAGACUCCUUUGUAAUAGUUAAAUGUAGUCACAGUCAUGGUGGAAAAGUUGUAUGUUUACACCUGGAUCGCUUCAGUGUUUCCAUAAAAAAGUGAAUAUAGUACAAACAAGCAGACGAAAAAACUCCGUUUACAUCAAUUUGUUUGGUAUUUUGCCAAAGAAUCGACUGCUUCCAGCGUCCGCAUUAGUGCCCAAAGCAACUUCAAACUAUGGAUUUUAAUAAGGUAGUUUGAUGCUAUAGUUAAAGCCUAUUAGCCUAUUGUUAAUAAAGUUAAAUGAGUGUUAACUACAUACACAUGGUAUUAACCACUAAAUUACUUGGCUUGACUUAAACCAUACCUGUUGUGGUUUGUGGUCUCCUGAAAUGAUAAAUUGUUGAUGUUCUUUUUUACAUUGUUUUCUGGAUUUUUGUCAGGAUUAGCAGCCAUUGCAGGUGAACUAAGUGGAUCACUGGAAUUUAAGAUAAUCAUAAAGUGUGUUGAAGUAUCAUUUUGCAGCUUCUUGUCAAAAAAUUAUUCAUAAACUAUUUCGACCUUCAAUACAAAUCUUGCUUAACUGAAAGAACCCCAAAAAAUAUUGUCAACGAAACGAAUAGAAAGCAUAUUGUCUUUCGAUGACGAUUGGGUUAAAUUUACUGAAAUUGGUUGAAGACUUGGAUGUUCUUUAAUUGUUAAUGGACAAUCCUACUCAUUUUUUUCUAAACUCUAAACUGUCACUGUCAGAGUGUCAGGUAACAUUACGAAUAAUCAGUUAACCGAAAGAAGGUCUCAAAUCUGCUACCAGGUGCCUCUGAGCCAUGAUAAAUUGAUAACAAUAAUGGCUGCCGUUGUCAAUGAUUGGCUGAUUGCUGAUUCGCUGAUUGUGAUCUAACAUUAAAGACUUUUUUGUUAGACAUUUUCUGGAAUUUGUGAAAUUAAGAAAGUGUGACUGAUCCUGAAAACAUGUUUUUCUGUCACAUAAUUACUGUGUUUGAUUUUCUUUGUUUCCUUUCAAGAAGCAGCUGAUUACCAGUGAGACAUGUCUCAACUUGGCUUGGACGUCUACUUCCUCAAGAGAUUACUAUUGGCUUGGUGGUGAUGACCAUACACAGAGAAGAACUUUAAACUGUUCCAGCGAUAAAGCUUACUUGUUAGAUUUUUCUCUACUUCUUAUUUCUAAAUUUGCUAAUAGUUCUGUAAAUAUUCAUUGGACGUUAAAAAGAACCACACAAUCGGGAUCCUCGUGAAAUUUGGGGUCGAUUUCGUGCCUCUCAGUAAGUCGGUAGAAAAUAUCGAAAAAUUUUGGUUUUCGUUUAAAACACAUGAAAUCGACCCAAAAUUUCAUAGAAAUUUGGUUCUUUCGAAUUCGAAUAUUUCGUGUAGAGGUUGGGUUAGAACCGUGCAUUGGUAUAGAGGUUGGGUGAGAAGUGAGAACUAAACUGUGAAGGGGUGUAGAGGUUGGGUGAGAACCGUGCAAUGUAGUGUAGAGGAUGGGUGAGAACGACACGUGUCGAAUCAUUAUCAAGCAGGUAGAAUAGCCACAAGGCUUAAGAGGUGAGGGUGAGAAAAAAAUCGUAUAAAAAGAGAGAGAAAAUUCUAUCGAGAUCAGUCGAGUGAGCAUCUCCGACACGGCAACAACUGCAGCGCAUUAUUGGUCCCCAACUGCUUUCUUCAUGGUAUUACCAGUUCGCAAUCAUGGGCUGGGUCGACUGCUGUUGUACUGAUGUCUCCUGGGUAUGGUGGAUACCAAACCGCAUCGCUGCCUCUUUACUACGCAACAACCGGUUACUUCACAACCAAGGCUCCAGGAUUUCACGCCGCAGCUUAUGAUGCUUACGAGCUACAUCACCAAAAAGAGCCUGCCGACUACACCGAAGUUUCCAAGUACUACACCACCAAGUCACCGGAGUGCUACACGGCUGCGUAUGCUGCCCUUGCCUACUGCACCGAGGUUCCAAUUUAUUACAACAACGAAGCGCGCAGGUUCUACACUGCAACAUACGCUGCCCCGAACCACUACACCGACGCCAAGAAGUAUUACUCUGCGUAAAAGGAGUCGUCUAGAAACAUGAAGUCGUAUGAAACGAGUGAGGAUCUUCGACACGGCAUCAACUGCAGUGCACAUCUGUCACCAAAUGCAUUCCUCAUCGUAAAACCAAUUCGAAAUUAUCGGUACAAUUGCCGCAAGGCUUAAGCUGAAAGGUGGAAUAGAAGUCCAACGAAAAAUUGUAUAAACCGAGGAAAGGCGAUAGGAGUCAGUCGAGUGAACAUCUCCAACACGGUAACAACUGCAUCGUACUAUUUGUCGCUAGCUGCCUUGUUCAUCUCAUCGUAUAACCAGCUCUUAAUUAUGGCGUGCUGCUGUUGGGUGUUGUAUCGUUGAUGGCUGUGUCGACGACUCGUGUACCGAUGUCUCCUUAGUAUGGCGGGUGCCAAACCGCAACGCCGCCGUCUUACUACACAACAUACGCCACGACCAGUUACUUCACCACCAAGGCACCAGAAUAUUACACCACAACUUAUGAUGCCCCGAUCUGCACCACCAAAGUACCAGAGUACUACACUACUUCGUUAGCUGUCCCGUCCUACUACACCGAGCUUCCCAAGUACUACUCUGUUCCCAGUUACUACACCGAGGCUCCAGCCUAUUACUCCACUAAAGCUGGCGAAUACUACACCGAAGUAUCCAAGUUCUACUCUGCCCCGAGCUCCACCAUCACAUCUUAGGAGACAAAGUGUUACUACCCAGCGGCUGCUCCUUCGUACCACAUUGACCUGAAAGACUAAACUGAUGCGAUAGCUAACUACACCAAAACCUACGCUACACCUAGAUACUGCACCACAGAAGUCGAAUAUUACACAACAACCAAUGCUGCCCCAGUCUACUACACCGACGAACUUCAGUAUUACUCUUCUCUAAGCUACUACCGAACAGAAACUUCCGCUUACUACACCACCUAGGUCCCGGAGUUUUACACUUCAGCUUACGCAUCUCCCAGUUACUAUGCCGAGGCUCCCAAGUACGUAUCCAAGGCACCCGAGUAUUACCACUGCUAACGCUGUUCCGACCUACUACACCGAAGUUCUGAAGUUUUACUCUACCCUGAGUUAUUACACCACUGAGGCACCUGAAUCUGAACACCACAACCUACGUUCCUCCAACUCACUACAGGGACGCUCCUAAAAACUAGAGUCGAAUUUUCAAUUGUAAUAAUUAUGUUCAGAUUUGUCGGUUACAUCUUAAAAGUAUUAGUCACUGGGAAUUGUUGAUCUUUAAUGAGAAAAUAAAUUUUUAAUUCUGGGUAA